AACGCAUUAGUUUAAGAAUGUAAAAUCAGUCUCGAAAGAGCAUAAAAUAAAUAAAACUUUCAGCAACGGAUCUCUUGGCUCUCGCAUCGAUGAAGAACGCAGCGAAAUGCGAUACGUAAUGUGAAUUGCAGAAUUCAGUGAAUCAUCGAAUCUUUGAACGCACCUUGCACUCUUUGGUAUUCCGAAGAGUAUGUCUGUUUGAGUGUCAUGAAACUUUCAACCCCCCUCAUUUGUAAUGAAAUGUAGCGUGGGCUUGGUUUAUGGCUGUUUGCCGGCAUAAAUGUCGGCUCAGCUGAAAUAUACGAGCAACCCAGUUUAAAUACCUGACGGCUUGACUCGGCGUAAUAACUAUUUCGCUGAGGACGUCUAACCUUUAAAUCGUUAGUGGUGCUUCUAAUGCAUUAAUCAUCUUAAGCUUUAGACCUCAAAUCAGUCAGGACUACCCGCUGAACUUAAGCAUAUCAAUAAGCGGAGGAAAAGAAACUAACAAGGAUUCCCCUAGUAACGGCGAGUGAAGUGGGAAAAGCUCAACUUUGUAAUCUGGCAGCUUUGCUGUCCGAGUUGUAGUCUCGAGAAGUGUUUUCCGCGCUGGAUCGUGUAUGAGUCUGUUGGAAUACAGCGUCAUAGAGGGUGAGAACCCCGUUCGUGACACGACUACCAGUGCUUUGUGAUACAUUUUCGAUGAGUCGAGUUGUUUGGGAAUGCAGCUCAAAUUGGGUGGUAAAUUCCAUCUAAAGCUAAAUAUUGGCGAGAGACCGAUAGCAAACAAGUACCGUGAGGGAAAGAUGAAAAGCACUUUGGAAAGAGAGUUAACAGUACGUGAAAUUGUUGAAAGGGAAACGUUUGAAGUCAGACGUGCGUUGUGCGAUUCAGCUCCGGUUCGCCGGAGUGUAUUUCGUACUAUUGCAGGCCAGCAUCGGUUUGGCGAGUCGGAUAAAGGUUAGAGAAAGGUAGCGGCUCCGGCCGUGUUAUAGUCUUUAACUGAAUACGAAUUGCUAGACCGAGGGACGCAGCGCGCCGCAAGGCAAAGCUCUC
rnacentral:rRNA from 1 species